rnacentral:misc_RNA from 1 species
GAUGAAGAACGUAGCGAAAUGCGAUAACUAAUGUGAAUUGCAGAAUUCAGUGAAUCAUCGAGUCUUUGAACGCACAUUGCGCCCCCUGGUAUUCCGGGGGGCAUGCCUGUCCGAGCGUCAUUGCUGCCCUCAAGCACGGCUUGUGUGUUGGGCCCCGUCCUCCGAUCCCGGGGGACGGGCCCGAAAGGCAGCGGCGGCACCGCGUCCGGUCCUCGAGCGUAUGGGGCUUUGUCACCCGCUCUGUAGGCCCGGCCGGCGCUUGCCGAUCAACCCAAAUUUUUAUCCAGGUUGACCUCGGAUCAGGUAGGGAUACCCGCUGAACUUAAGCAUAUCAAUAAGCGGAGGA